rnacentral:lncRNA from 1 species
UUGUGUUUUUAAUUGAUGUUGUGAUACACUAAGGUAUAUUGGAUUAAACAUAGUCUUGAAAAAGGGUAGCUGUUUCAGUCCCAUUGCACAUCGAGACUCCCUGUUCCCGUACCUAAGUGUUGAAAUUAAAUUAUUUAAAAAAAAAAAAAUUUGGUUACUUUUGUUUUUGUUUUUGAGUCUUAGAAUGCCCUUUCAACUGUCUAAGAUGAUUCUAUAUCUCUGAAAUCAUGAUUAAAAGAUGAUCACAAAAUUGAGAUGAUUUUUAAAAUGGUAUUCUUUGGUUAAUUGAGAUAUAUGAAAAAUGCAUGCAUGUGUAGUGGAUAUGGAUUUCGUAACCUUGGUACAGAAUAUGAGCAUGUUAGGAUGAGUUUUGAUUCAUAAAAGCCCAUGUGAGAUAUUUGAGCCAUGUCCCUUUUUCUUGGAGUGAUAAUUGAAAAAUAUAUUCUUAAUUUUUUGGCGAUAUUAAGUUUGAUGGACUAGAAAAUGCUAGAAUUCGCUCUUGUGCUUGUUGAGACGUUUGUCAAUACAUGGCCCUGAUUCUGGAAGGGAUAGAGGCAACCUAGGAAUUACCACCAUUGCUAAAUAAGCAUGUGUCCCUAUUUGUGCCCGUCGUGGGACUCUCUUAGAUAAACCCCUUUGAGCUUACAUUAAGCCUUUUCUUUCAUCACCCUUAAAUCCUUAACCCUGAACCUUAGUAUAGCUACACUCCUACCCUUUGUUCUAAAAACUUAGCGGAGCUAUAUUUUGGGACUUUACUUGAGGAUUUGGCAUUGAGAAAGAAAAUUGAGAAGAGGUGAAAGUUCAAGUGUGGGGGUAGACUUGUCCAUAAAGAAAAAAAUAUGUGAAAGCCGUGAAAAAAAAAUGAAAAAAAAAAAAAUUUGUGUACGGCUAGAAAAGAAAAGAAAGAAAAAUGUUUAUGGAUUUUAGUCCCCCAUACUUAGUGAUUUUGGAGUUUACUUUGAACUGAAGGCCC